UGGGGGAUAUUGCACAAUGGGGGAAACCCUGAUGCAGCGACACCGCGUGGGUGAAGAAGCGCUUCGGCGUGUAAAGCCCUAUCAGUGGGGAAGAAAAAGGACGGUACCCAAAGAAGAAGCACCGGCUAAAUACGUGCCAGCAGCCGCGGUAAUACGUAUGGUGCAAGCGUUAUCCGGAAUGACUGGGUGUAAAGGGAGCGUAGACGGUUGUACAAGUCUGAUGUGAAAGCCCACGGCUCAACUGUGGGAGUGCAUUGGAAACUGUAGAACUAGAGUAUCGGAGAGGCAAGUGGAAUUCCUAGUGUAGCGGUGAAAUGCGUAGAUAUUAGGAGGAACACCAGUGGCGAAGGCGGCUUGCUGGACGAAAACUGACGUUGAGGCUCGAAAGCGUGGGGAGCAAACA
rnacentral:rRNA from 1 species